CCGCGUGAGGGACGAAGGCCUCUGGGCUGUAAACCUCUUUUCUCAAGGAAGAAGAUAUGACGGUACUUGAAGAAUAAGCCACGGCUAAUUCCGUGCCAGCACCCGCGGUAAUACGGGAGUGGCAAGCGUUAUCCGGAAUUAUUGGGCGUAAAGCGUCCGCAGGCGGCUUUUCAAGUCUGCUGUUAAAGCGUGGAGCUUAACUCCAUCAUGGCAGUGGAAACUGAAAGGCUUGAGUAUGGUAGGGGCAGAGGGAAUUCCCGGUGUAGCGGUGAAAUGCGUAUAUAUCGGGAAGAACACCAGUGGCGAAGGCGCUCUGCUGGGCCAUUACUGACGCUCAUGGACGAAAGCCAGGGGAGCGAAAGGGAUUAUAUACCCCUGUAGUCCUGGCCGUAAACGAUGAACACUAGGUGUCGGGGGAAUCGACCCCUUCG
rnacentral:rRNA from 1 species